rnacentral:rRNA from 1 species
CCUACGGGUGGCAGCAGUGGGGAAUAUUGCACAAUGGGGGGAACCCUGAUGCAGCGACGCCGCGUGAGCGAGGAAGUAUUUCGGUAUGUAAAGCUCUAUCAGCAGGGACGAAAAAAGACGGUACCUGACUAAGAAGCCCCGGCUAACUACGUGCCAGCAGCCGCGGUAAUACGUAGGGGGCACGCGUUAUCCGGAUUUACUGGGUGUAACGGGAGCGUAGACGGCAAGGCAAGCCAGAAGUGAAAGGGCAGGGCUCAACCCUGGACAUGCUUUUGGAACUGUGGUGCUAGAGUGCAGGAGAGGUAAGUGGAAUUCCUAGUGUAGCGGUGAAAUGCUUAGAUAUCGCGCAGAACCCCGAUUGCGAAGGCAGCGUACCGGCUCCACACUGACGCUGAGGCACGAAAGCGUGGGUAUCGAACAGGAUUAGAUACCCCAGUAGUC